UACGUAGGCAGCGAGCGUUGUUCGGAGUUACUGGGCGUAAAGGGUGUGUAGGCGGUUAUUUAAGUUUGGUGUGAAAUCUCCCGGCUCAACCGGGAGGGUGCGCCGAAUACUGAAUGACUUGGAGUGCGGGAGAGGUGAGUGGAAUUCCUGGUGUAGCGGUGAAAUGCGUAGAGAUCGGGAAGAAUACCCGUGGCGAAGGCGGCCAGCUGGGCCAGGUCCGACACUGAGGCGCGAAAGCGUGGGGAGCAAACAGG
rnacentral:rRNA from 1 species